AGAGUUUGAUCAUGGCUCAGAAUCAACGCUGGCGGCGCGCCUAACACAUGCAAGUCGAACGGGAAAGUGGAGCAAUCCAUGAGUACAGUGGCGUACGGGUGAGUAACACGUGGGUAAUCUACCUCUUAGUGGGGAAUAACUUUGGGAAACCGAAGCUAAUACCGCAUAAGCCUGAGAAGGGAAAGCAGCAAUGCGCUGAGAGAGGAGCCCGCGGCCGAUUAGCUAGUUGGCAGGGUAAAAGCCUACCAAGGCAGAGAUCGGUAGCCGGCCUGAGAGGGCACACGGCCACACUGGCACUGAAACACGGGCCAGACUCCUACGGGAGGCAGCAGUGGGGAAUCUUGCACAAUGGGGGAAACCCUGAUGCAGCGACGCCGCGUGAGCGAUGAAGCCCUUCGGGGUGUAAAGCUCUUUCGUCAGGGAAGAUAAUGACGGUACCUGGAGAAGCAGCUGCGGCUAACUACGUGCCAGCAGCCGCGGUAAUACGUAGGCAGCGAGCGUUGUUCGGAGUUACUGGGCGUAAAGGGUGUGUAGGCGGUUCUUUAAGUUUGGUGUGAAAUCUCCCGGCUCAACCGGGAGGGUGCGCCGAAUACUGAGGAACUAGAGUACGGGAGAGGAAAGUGGAAUUCCUGGUGUAGCGGUGAAAUGCGUAGAUAUCAGGAGGAACACCGGUGGUGUAGACGGCUUUCUGGACCGUAACUGACGCUGAGACACGAAAGCGUGGGUAGCAAACAGGAUUAGAUACCCUAGUAGUCC
rnacentral:rRNA from 1 species